UAGAGAAUAGUAUAAGUGGUAAUACAAGAGAUUUUGGAUUUUUUUAUGGGGGUUCAAGUCCUCUUUCUCUAG
rnacentral:tRNA from 1 species